CAGUAGCCGCGGGAAUACGAAGGGGGCUAGCGUUGUUCGGAUUUACUGGGCGUAAAGCGCACGUAGGCGGACUUUUAAGUCAGGGGUGAAAUCCCGGGGCUCAACCCCGGAACUGCCUUUGAUACUGGAAGUCUUGAGUAUGGUAGAGGUGAGUGAAAUUCCGAGUGUAGAGGUGAAAUUCGUAGAUAUUCGGAGGAACACCAGUGGCGAAGGCGGCUCACUGGACCAUUACUGACGCUGAGGUGCGAAAGCGUGGGGAGCAAACAGGAUUAGAGACCCGCGUAGUCCCUGUCUCUUAUAC
rnacentral:rRNA from 1 species